GAUCCAGCAAUGCCGCGUGAGUGAUGAAGGCCUUAGGGUUGUAAAGCUCUUUCGCCCGCGACGAUGAUGACGGUAGCGGGAGAAGAAGCCCCGGCUAACUCCGUGCCAGCAGCCGCGGUAAUACGGAGGGGGCUAGCGUUGUUCGGAAUUACUGGGCGUAAAGGGCGCGCAGGCGGCUGCUCAAGUCAGGCGUGAAAGGCCUGGGCUCAACCCGGGAAUUGCGCUUGAGACUGGGCUGGCUUGAGUGCGGGAGAGGAUGGUGGAAUUCCCAGUGUAGAGGUGAAAUUCGUAGAUAUUGGGAAGAACACCGGUGGCGAAGGCGGCCAUCUGGACCGUAACUGACGCUGAGGCGCGAAAGCGUGGGGAGCAAACAGGAUUAGAUACCCUGGUAGUCCACGCCGUAAACGAUGAGUGCUAGACGUUGGGAGGCCUAGCCUUCCGGUGUCGCAGCUAACGCAUUAAGCACUCCGCCUGGGGAGUACGGCCGCAAGGUU
rnacentral:rRNA from 1 species